UGGGGAAUCUUGCACAAUGGGGGCAACCCUGAUGCAGCGACGCCGCGUGAGCGAUGAAGCCCUUCGGGGCGUAAAGCUCUUUCGGCCGGAACGAUAAUGACGGUACCGGGAGAAGAAGCUGCGGCUAACUACGUGCCAGCAGCCGCGGUAAUACGUAGGCAGCAAGCGUUGUUCGGAGGUACUGGGCGUAAAGAGUGCGUAGGCGGUUUUCUAAGUUCGGUGUGAAAUCUCCCAGCUUAACUGGGAGGGUGCGCCGAAGACUGGGAAGCUGGAGUGUGGGAAAGGCAGGCGGAAUUCCUGGUGUAGCGGUGAAAUGCGUAGAUAUCAGGAGGAACACCGGCGGUGUAGACGGCUUGCUAGACCAUAACUGACGCUGAGGCACGAAAGCGUGGGUAGCAAACA
rnacentral:rRNA from 1 species